rnacentral:rRNA from 1 species
GACAGAGGGUGCAAACGUUGUUCGGAUUUACUGGGCGUAAAGCGCGUGUAGGCGGCUUCGCAAGUUGGAUGUGAAAUCCCACGGCUCAACCGUGGACGUGCAUCCAAAACUGCGUCGCUGGAGUCUCGGAGAGGAAGGCGGAAUGCUUGGUGUAGAGGUGAAAUUCGUAGAUAUCAAGCAGAACACCUGCGGCGAAGGCGGCCUUCUGGACGAUGACCGACGCUGAGACGCGAAAGCGUGGGGAGCGAACAGG